GGGCCAGUAGUUCAGCGGCUAGAACAGGCGUCUUAUACACUCCUUGUCGGAGGUUCGAGUCCUCCCUGGCCCA
rnacentral:tRNA from 1 species